rnacentral:ncRNA from 1 species
CAGAGUAGAAAGCUGUGCGUAAAGUGUCCGGAGGACGGGGAGUUGCCGCCGGAACGAAAAAUCCUGAAAGGAUUUGCGGUACAGUUUUCGCAUCCCGCUG